rnacentral:rRNA from 1 species
GACGAACGCUGGCGGCGUGCCUAAUACAUGCAAGUCGAGCGAAUCAAUAGGAGCUUGCUCCUGUUGGUUAGCGGCGGACGGGUGAGUAACACGUGGGCAACCUGCCUGUAAGACUGGGAUAACAUCGGGAAACCGAUGCUAAUACCGGAUAAUUCAUUCCCUCUCAUGAGGGAAUGUUGAAAGUCGGUUUCGGCUGACACUUACAGAUGGGCCCGCGGCGCAUUAGCUAGUUGGUGAGGUAACGGCUCACCAAGGCGACGAUGCGUAGCCGACCUGGGAGGGUGAUAGGCCACACUGGGACUGAGACACGGCCCAGAAUCCUACGGGAGGCAGCAGUAGGGAAUCUUCCACAAUGGACGAAAGUCUGAUGGAGCAACGCCGCGUGAGCGAUGAAGGCCUUCGGGUCGUAAAGCUCUGUUGUUAGGGAAGAACAUGUACCGGAGUAACUGCCGGUACCUUGACGGUACCUAACCAGAAAGCCACGGCUAACUACGUGCCAGCAGCCGCAGUAA